rnacentral:hammerhead_ribozyme from 1 species
AUCCAGCUGACGAGUCUCAAAUGGGACGAAACUCUCGUUCUGUAU